rnacentral:tRNA from 1 species
AGUGGGAUGGCUGAGAUUAAUUAGUAGGCGGUAGGCUGUAAAUCUACUUAGGGGCUUUAAACGUUGUCCUUCCACUA